UACGUAGGGUGCAAGCGUUGUCCGGAAUUAUUGGGCGUAAAGAGCUCGUAGGCGGUCUGUCGCGUCUGCUGUGAAAACUCGGGGCUUAACCCCGGGCCUGCAGUGGGUACGGGCAGACUAGAGUGCGGUAGGGGAGACUGGAAUUCCUGGUGUAGCGGUGAAAUGCGCAGAUAUCAGGAGGAACACCGGUGGCGAAGGCGGGUCUCUGGGCCGUAACUGACGCUGAGGAGCGAAAGCGUGGUGAGCGAACAGG
rnacentral:rRNA from 1 species